AUGGUAAAAGCCAAAUUCAGUCUGAAGAGUUUUUUUUUUCCUAAUGAGAAAGCUCAUCAAUACAUGUCUUGUUUUCAGGGUCGAACAGGGCAGAGGGGUCACACUGGCAUGCCUGGACUUCCUGUAAGUGUUUAUACACAAAAACUGAAACUAGUGUCAGUCUUUGUGUCGAAUGUUGAUAAUGUCAGUGUUGAUGGUGUUUAUUGCAGGGUUUUCCUGGCCCACCUGGACCUGUUGGAGCUGAAGGAAAGCCUGGGACUGCAAGGCCUUGUGGGUAAUGCAGGAAGUAAAGGACUAAUGGGAUUGCAAGGUAUUCCUGGAGAACAUGGUCAGGAUGGACCCCCAGGAUCUAUGGGUCCACGUGGCCGGGAGGGGCCUAUGGGCAGUCUUGGGCCACCAGGAGAGAGGGUAUGUUUAUGCUUUUUUAUAUUUUUAGUUCUCGUAUAAAUUGUAAAUCAUGCUGCAGAUUUUCAGGAUGUUUUGGCAUUUGUGGUUAUUUCUCUUAGGGUUUCCCUGGAAAGACAGGAGUAGUGGGACCGCAGGGCCCUGUUGGCAUGUAUGUAAGUGACCUCUCUACAGGGCUCUUAUAGAGAGAGAGGGAGCGGAAUGAGGAGAAUAAUGUUUAAGGUUGAUGUUUUGACAUAGCCAGCCCACUCUCUUGUAUUCUCUUAAGGGUUUUCCAGGAAACGUGGGUAUGAGAGGAAGACCGGGCCACAGUGGAGACAGAGUAAAGACAAAUAACACUUUAACUUUCCCACAUUAACAGGAAUAUAUCUUUGUUAAAUUAUGCUGUUGUACAUUUGUAUAGUUAUAAUGUCAAAGCUCAUCUACAGAUAAAGGCUCCAUUCUAAUCCUUUGUGAGCUGCACUGCAGUCUUUUAAGGCGACAUCCUAACCAAAAUUGAACCCCAUAAAUUACUGUGCAUUUAUGGAUUCCCUUAUCCAUUACAAGGUUGGAACAACCUUCCUAUUAGGAUGAUGACUAAAAAUCUAGACAGCUCACUUGGGAUUAGAGCAGAGCCACAAUAUUUUAGCCUUUAUAAUAGUAACUUUAGGUAAAAGAGGACAUUUGUUUUCUUAUAGGGAGAGCCAGGUCUAAGAGGGCCUCCGGGACCAACUGGGAAGCCUGGACCACCAGUAAGUGUCUGAGGAAUCAAGUAAAAACACUGAGAUCAUUUCUUAUUUUAAAUUUUGAUAAUUUUUUCAAUUCAGUGGAUAAAUGUAGUUUGGUUUCCACUGCUGUAACACUGUCAUUUGCAUGUUGUGAUGACUAA
rnacentral:lncRNA from 1 species